AACCUCUUCGGCCACCCUAGCCUCACCACAAACCACCCUUAGCGCCACCUAGGGCAUCGACUCACCUUUGUCGGUGCUCAUCAUCUGAUAAAAAUCCAACCCAUAAAUUUAUCUAACCUAAGAACCCUAACAUGAACCCUAGGAACCAUAACACCACAAGCCUAGAAAUCACAUGGAUGAUGAACCCUAACAUCAAACAUAAGAACCCUAACCCAACUCACAUGAACCAUAUCCUACCUAGGAACCCUAACCUUCAAUUCCUAAAAACCAUU
rnacentral:lncRNA from 1 species